rnacentral:rRNA from 1 species
UACGGAGGAUGCAAGCGUUAUCCGGAAUGAUUGGGCGUAAAGCGUCCGCAGGUGGCAAUGUAAGUCUGCUGUUAAAGAGUCUAGCUCAACUAGAUAAAAGCAGUGGAAACUACAUAGCUAGAGUACGUUCGGGGCAGAGGGAAUUCCUGGUGUAGCGGUGAAAUGCGUAGAGAUCAGGAAGAACACCGGUGGCGAAGGCGCUCUGCUAGGCCGUAACUGACACUGAGGAGCGAAAGCGUGGGGAGCGAACAGG